rnacentral:misc_RNA from 1 species
UGUGUCUCCCAGUGUGCAACAGAAUAACUAAUAAGCGGUAAUAAUUAUGAGGCAUGAAACCAAGUAUAGUAAUCUCAAUCAAAAUAGCCAAAGGCUAUUAUAUCAGAGAAUGGCACGUAAGGCCAUAAAACACAGAAUGACAUAAAGUCAUAUGCAGCACUGCUAACAGAAUCCUAUUGGCAUGCCAACCUAUCAAAACCAAUCAUUCUAGGCAUACUAGGGCAUUUUACACAGUUAAUAAUUUAAUUAUUUAUUUUUGUAAUGUAGAGGUCACUAUUCACUUGACUAUUUCCACUCAAAUAUUGACUUUUUAAUUUAUAAUAGAUUUGUUGAACCUAACUUUACCAAGAUACCACAUUUUGGUUCACAAAAGUGUUGGCAUUGGUUGCCAAUCAAUACUUAAAACCAAUAGAAAAUAAAUCAAAAAAUUUCAGUCUUAGGUGCUAAAGUUCACUGUUCCAUUAAGCAAUUCUACAAUGAGAAUUUUGCCAAAUGUUCUCAAUCAAAGUUGCUCCUUUAUAUGUCUUCUUUAAUUCCCUUUUUGAAUCACUCCAUUUGAAGUUUUGUAG